rnacentral:rRNA from 1 species
UACGUAGGGGGCUAGCGUUGUCCGGAAUCAUUGGGCGUAAAGAGCGUGUAGGCGGCCCGGUAAGUCCGCUGUGAAAGUCAAAGGCUCAACCUUUGAAUGUCAGCGGAUACUGCCGGGCUAGAGUCCGGAAGAGGCGAGUGGAACUCCUGGUGUAGCGGUGGAAUGCGCAGAUAUCAGGAAGAACACCAACGGCGAAGGCAGCUCGCUGGGACGGUACUGACGCUGAGGCGCGAAAGCGUGGGGAGCAAACAGG